CAGCAGCCGCGGUAAUACCGGCGGCCCGAGUGGCGGUCACUAUUAUUGGGCUUAAAGCGUCCGUAGCCGGGUUGGGAAGUCCUCCGGGAAAUCUGGCCGCUUAACGGUCAGAAUGCCGGAGGAUACUCCCAGCCUAGGGAGCGGGAGAGGCCGAGGGUAUUCCCGGAGGAGGGGUGAAAUCCUAUAAUCCCGGGAGGACCACCUGUGGCGAAGGCGCUCGGCUGGAACGCGUCCGACGGUGAGGGACGAAGGCCAGGGGAGCAAACCGGAUUAGAUACCCGGGUAGUCCUGGCGGUAAACGAUGCGGACUUUGUGUCGGACAAGCUAUGAGCUUGUCCGGUGCCGGAGGGAAACCGUUAAGUCCGCCGCCUGGGGAGUACGGCCGCAAGGCUGAAACUUAAAGGAAUUGGCGGG
rnacentral:rRNA from 1 species